rnacentral:rRNA from 1 species
UACGAAGGGUGCUAGCGUUGCUCGGAAUCACUGGGCGUAAAGCGCACGUAGGCGGCUCUUUAAGUCAGGGGUGAAAUCCUGGAGCUCAACUCCAGAACUGCCUUUGAUACUGGGGAUCUCGAGUCCGGGAGAGGUGAGUGGAACUCCGAGUGUAGAGGUGAAAUUCGUAGAUAUUCGGAAGAACACCAGUGGCGAAGGCGGCUCACUGGCCCGGUACUGACGCUGAGGUGCGAAAGCGUGGGGAGCAAACAGG